CAUAGGUCUUUUGAUAUAUUAGAUAUCCCAGACAAGUCUAAUCUAAAUUAAGAGGUGUUAACCGAGUGAUUAAGGAAGCAUACUGUGAAGGGAUCUUUAAUCACUGUUCUGUGUGUUUAAAAAGUUCAGAUACCAAGUUUGUUGUGACUUGGCUAACUUUUGAUAUGCAAACUUGCCAUUUAUAUAAUUUAUGUGAUAGUGUUUAUAUUGAGUGAAAG